UUCGUUGUUAAAGUUGAUUGGGGACUAUGAUCCUAUAUUUUUGGUGUUUAUUUUGGAUGGUCCGGAGUUUUUGGCUGCAACUAUGUUGGACAGAGAUAUGCUUGCUAUGGCUGGAAAUUGGUACCAUGUCGGUUGGUUUUGCUUGGCAAGAUUUGUGACGAUGCGUCGGACAAACAACAUUGGGAUAAGAUACAGCCUUGAGCCUUGGCAAGUUAACACAUUAGUUAGGGUUAUGAAGUUUUUCAUGGCACCGACGCAUUAUUGAGCAGUAGCG